UCCCUACGGGGUGCAGCAGGCGCGAAAACUUUACAAUGCGGGCAACCGUGAUAAGGGAACCUCGAGUGCCUGUAUAUGCAGGCUGUCCAGGUGUCUAAAACACACCUGAAGAAAGGGCCGGGCAAGACCGGUGCCAGCCGCCGCGGUAAUACA
rnacentral:rRNA from 1 species